rnacentral:lncRNA from 1 species
UGCCAAUUUAAUAACAAAAACAAUUUAUUGAAAGGAUGUUGGGAACUGACUGUAAGGAAGACAGGAUUGGAGAACCAGGUUUAGAAGAGAAAAGGCAGUGCCAGAAGUUUUUGAUUGGAGAAAACUACAGGGUAAUGUUGCACAAGAACCAUUGCUGGACUGCAUCAUUGCUUACCCAACAUGACUCAGCCUCGGUAUUGCCACUGACUCACGGAGCUCCUAAUAGAGGAGAAUUAGUGUCACAGAUCGACUGGAAAACCAAUCCACAUGAAGCCAGGAAGAGAAAUGAAGCUGCUGUUGCUGAAUCCAUAGCUGGCCUUAAUGAUGCUGGCUAGGAAAGACGGCCCAUUCUGGGGGAGAUAAGUCAAUUUUGCAGUGUCUGUUAUUAUCAUAGUGACUAUUGUCUUCCUGUUUUAUAUUUAUUUACCUAAAUUGUUUUGGAAAGACUCAGAGGUAUAGAGACAUGCCUACUUUUUGCAAAAAUCAUCACACUGUCAUGGAGGUAGUCCAGGCUAUGGGGCUCUUAUUUGUUGGUGUCUUGGGCAAGUUGCUUGACCUCUGAUCAUUGUUUGCUUAUUCUUAUAUGGCCCCUGUAUUUCAGACUCACUCUGUGUCAGGCAUUUGUUUACCUUUGUAGCAAGCUCAGGAGGAAAAUACCAUUGCCCUUGUUUUACAGGUGAUGAAACUGUACGUUUUCCAAGGACACAGUGCUAGUAAGUAAUGAAUGUGAAAUUUUAACUGUUUC